AUAAGUAUUAUUUUUACAGUCUUCAAUUACCUAUAUAAAAUGUUUAUAGGCUAAUUAUCCCGUUUGGGCCAAAGCACGAACGUUAUGGUACGAUCGUAGUUAUUUAUUUAAUUAUAAUAUAUAAUAACAGAAAUAUACUAAAUAGCUAACUGCUAUCCAGCAGUUCGUCUGCUAUCUGUCUGUGACCAUUUAAUUCGAAAUCCAUGAACCUUAACAUAUACUUUUACCUAUACAAUUGUAUAACUAUUAAAUCUAUUAUUAGGUCUUUUUACCAUUGUUACCGAGGUAAUCGAAACCAUGAUUAUUAACAAUAUUGCAUAGAUACAACAGUUAUCACAAUAUAAAAAUCGAUUGUUGAGUCUCGAAUUAAAUGGUGGAUUGAAACUUCACUUCUUAUCACUAGUAACAACUAGUUUAUCGUACAUAUCUGUGCGUAUGAUGGAUAUUUAACAGGCUAUAAAAAAGUGACCUAUAAGUCGAAUUCUCACUGAUACUCCUAGCGGAUUAAUCUCUUACUAUAGUGUCGUCAUGGUAUAAACAAUAAAUUACUUUUAUUACGAUCCUAUAUAAAUAUUACACAUACAAGAUGACCGACGGUAAUCUGACGUUUCUUUAAUGGGUAGUAGUUAGCCUGCAGUGGUGGUAGAGAGAUAAACGACUGUUCAUUACUUUCGGCAUUUAAAUUUAAAUUCCAUUUUAGUAGUUAUGGAAAAAAUGGUCGAGCAUUUUGUGUUCACGUAUGACAUAUAUGUUGAAAAAAAUGAGGAUCAAUUUUGCUGUGACUUUGUAGCUAUUAUUUCAUAUGCAUUUUAAUCGUGGACGCUACGGUACCAUUCCCAUCUGAAAUAAGAUUUUAAGUUUUGUGAACUAAUUGUGAACAACAAGAUGUCUUGUGAUGAAGAAGCCAUUAAUUUCCAAGAAAACAAUAAGAACACACAUUUUUUUUUUUGAACAUGAAAACGACUAACUAAAUAGACGAUACUUGAAAAAUAGAAUAAAUGUUUUUUUUUUUCAAUUAGAUGGGGCCACCCCUUACAAUGUGCUCUAUGCUGGUGGUUCGAGGCAUGUUUUCAAUAAGGGUCAUCUCUCGUUUCAGAAAUGUCCUAUGGCCACUGAUUUUAGUACUUGGAACUAUUUAUUUAGGGGUACCUAAAAUCGUGUUUAUACACUCAAAAAUUCUGCACAUUAACCAUAUUGAAUUGUAAGAUAGUUCGAGUAACGGGUGCAUUUCAAAAACGGCUGGAAAAUUACAUUCAGGAGGAUUUGAUACUACUUACUCAACGUAAAUAUUCACACAUUAUAUACAUUUGAAAUGACAUGUAAUAACAAUCAAUAUUGAAUAAUACAUUUCAUAUUUUACUAAAAAAAAUACUGAGUACAAUCCAUUUCAAAAACGUCACGUUUCUUGUGUAUACUGUAUAUACAGGGUAAUUCUUUUAUCAUGAACCAACA